rnacentral:lncRNA from 1 species
UUUGAAUCACAUUUUACAUAGUCUAGGAAACUGACAAAAGAAUCCUAUAGAGAAUUGUUUUAUAAAGUGAAUAACUGCUUCUCUACCUACCUGCCCCUCUCAUUCUUCUUUUCUGUGCGUGUUUUUGGGGGGCUGUUAUGGGAUAAAUCUUGUUUGGCUUAAAAAUCACUAAAACGCAGCCUUUCAAAUCCAAAACAGAGAGCUUAGGUACCCAACAUUCUAUAGAAUGUAUUAUUUCCUCAAGAGGUUGCUAGGAACAGUUAUGUAGAUCUACCAGGUGCAGGGAAGCACUCCACACUCUCACCCAGGUCCUGUAUCCCUGCAAGACUGCGUUGGAAAGACUGAAGAGGAAGCUAAAGAAUGAUGCGCUCCACCACAAUGAGGGACUAAACAACAAAAAG